rnacentral:rRNA from 1 species
AUUGAACGCUGGCGGCAUGCUUUACACAUGCAAGUCGAACGGUAACAGCACUUCGGUGGCUGACGAGUGGCGAACGGGUGAGUAAUACAUCGGAACGUGCCUAGUAGUGGGGGAUAACUACUCGAAAGAGUAGCUAAUACCGCAUGAGAUCUAAGGAUGAAAGCAGGGGACCUUCGAGCCUUGCGCUACUAGAGCGGCUGAUGGCAGAUUAGGUAGUUGGUGGGAUAAAAGCUUACCAAGCCGACGAUCUGUAGCUGGUCUGAGAGGACGACCAGCCACACUGGGACUGAGACACGGCCCAGACUCCUACGGGAGGCAGCAGUGGGGAAUUUUGGACAAUGGGCGCAAGCCUGAUCCAGCAAUGCCGCGUGCAGGAUGAAGGCCUUCGGGUUGUAAACUGCUUUUGUACGGAACGAAAAGCCCUCUUCUAAUACAGGAGGGUCAUGACGGUACCGUAAGAAUAAGCACCGGCUAACUACGUG